rnacentral:rRNA from 1 species
AUACCCUAUUAUUAAGAAAAAUUAUAUUGUUAGUAUAUAAAUUGUAUGAAAACAAAAAAUUAUGGCGGUAUUUUAAGCUUUUCAGAGGAAUUUGCUCUUUAAUGGAUAAAACACCUAAAUCUUACUAAAUUUAGUUAAGCAGUUUGUAUACCACUAUUUAAGUAAUAAUUUGCUAUUAUUACUAAAAUUUAUAUUAAUUAAAAAAAGUUAAGUCAAGGUGCAGCAUAAAUUUUAGUAUGAAGUGAAUUACAUUUCUUUUAAGAAAAAUUUGUUGAAAAUAAAAUUUAGGAUUUGAAAGUAAAAUUUUAAUAGAAGGAAAAUUUGAAUUAAGCUCUAAAAUAUGUACACAUCGC